rnacentral:rRNA from 1 species
GAUUAACGCUGGCGGCGUGCCUAACACAUGCAAGUCGAGCGGCAGCGAGUUUUACACUGAAUUCUGGAAGCUUCUAGUUGAAAGAGAAGAUUUAUUCAAGAAUUUUGUGUAAAAUGUCGGCGAGCGGCGGACGGCUGAGUAACGCGUGGGAACGUACCCCAAAGUGAGGGAUAACGCAUCGAAAGGUGUGCUAAUACCGCAUAUGGUCUUCGGAUUAAAGCCUUCGGGCGCUUUGGGAACGGCCUGCGUAAGAUUAGAUAGUUGGUGGGGUAAUGGCCUACCAAGUCGACGAUCUGUAACUGGUUUGAGAGGAUGAUCAGUCAGACUGGAACUGAGACACGGUCCAGACUCCUACGGGAGGCAGCAGUGAGGAAUCUUCCACAAUGGGCGAAAGCCUGAUGGAGCAACGCCGCGUGCAGGAUGAAGGCCUUCGGGUUGUAAACUGCUUUUAUAAGUGAGGAUUAUGACAGUAACUUAUGAAUAAGGAUCGGCUAACUACGUG